CACGGAGUUAGCCGGUGCUUAUUCGUACAGUACCUUCAGCUACCCUCACGAGAGUAGGUUUAUCCCUGUACAAAAGAAGUUUACAACCCAUAGGGCCGUCGUCCUUCACUCGGGAUGGCUGGAUCAGGCGCUAACCCAUUGUCCAAUAUUCCUCACUGCUGCCUCCCGUAGGAGUCUGGUCCGUGUCUCAGUACCAGUGUGGGGGAUCACCCUCUCAGGCCCCCUAAAGAUCAUCGACUUGGUGAGCCGUUACCUCACCAACUAUCUAAUCUUGCGCGUGCCCAUCUCUAUCCGCCGAAGCCUUCAAUAUCUAAUGAUGCCAUCAAAUAUAUUAUGGGGUAUUAAUCUUCCUUUCGAAAGGCUAUCCCCCUGAUAAAGGCAGGUUGCACACGUGUUCCGCACCCGUACGCCGCUCUCAAGAUUCCGAAGAAUCUCUACCGCUCGGCUUGCAUGUGUUAGGCCUCCCGCUAGCGUUCAUCCUGAGCCAGGAUACAAACUCUACG
rnacentral:rRNA from 1 species